rnacentral:rRNA from 1 species
UACGUAGGCGGUUUGUAAGCCCGACGUGAAAUACUGGAGCUUAACUCCAGAACUGCGUUGGGAACUGUGAGACUUGAGUCAUGGAAGGGGAGUUGGAAUUCCAGGUGUAGGGGUGAAAUCUGUAGAUAUCUGGAAGAACACCGGUGGCGAAGGCGAACUCCUGGCCAAUGACUGACGCUGAGGUACGAAAGUGCGGGGAGCAAACA